UAUCUGUUUACUUCGUGAAGACUCUUAGCACUGGGUUUAAAUAAAAAGGCAAGCCCCAAAUGUGUAGUAUUUUGCAAAAUGCAGCCAAACUGGAGAAACUAAAUUUUCAGGAUAUGCCUGUAAUUUUAAACUUUUUCCUCUCCAUGAAGUGUUUAACGUGCCCAGAACUCCAAAAAUUUUGCAUCGAUUUGGUUCAAACUUGCAAACAAAAAUUCAUCUCCAAAGAAAAAUCAAGCAUGGAAAACAUUACCAAGCAAGGACUUCAGAAAAGGGUGGAGAGGAAGGCAAACUGGACUCUCCUCCAUUGCCUACCCAAGAAGAAGGACUGAUGAAAGAACCUUAAGGGACAAAGAAACUAACCUGAAGGGAAAGACAGGGGUGGGUCCAGUCUGUAAGAAGAAAUAACUGGAACUCUGAGCUACAGAAACUCUGCAUCCUGCCUAAUUCAACAUUUAGGGUGAGAAAUUACAU